UACAACUUGAAGCUGCUCUGCCAAAGCUGU
rnacentral:piRNA from 1 species